rnacentral:rRNA from 1 species
AUUGAACGCUGGCGGCAGGCCUAACACAUGCAAGUCGAACGAGCGGCGGACGGGUGCGUAAUGUAUGGGAAACUGCCCGAUGGAGGGGGAUAACUACUGGAAACGGUAGCUAAUACCGCAUACCAUCGGAUGUGCCCAGAUGGGAUUAGCUAGUAGGUGGGGUAAAGGCUCACCUAGGCGACGAUCCCUAGCUGGUCUGAGAGGCGGACCAGCCACACGGGAACUGAGACACGGUCCAGACUCCUACGGGAGGCAGCAGUGGGGAAUAUUGCACAAUGGGCGAAAGCCUGAUGCAGCCAUGCCGCGUGUAUGAAGAAGGCCUUAGGGUUGUAAAGUACUUUCAGCGAGGAGGCGUUACUCGAAGAAGAAGCACCGGCUAACUCCGUGCCAGCAGCCGCGGUAAUAC